rnacentral:rRNA from 1 species
AUCCAGACUCCUACGGGAGGCAGCAGUGAGGAAUAUUGGUCAAUGGCCGGAAGGCUGAACCAGCCAAGCCGCGUGAGGGAGGAAGGCGCAGAGCGUCGCAGACCUCUUUUGCCGGGGGACAAAAGGCCGGACUCGUCCGGUCCUGAGGGUACCCGGAGAAAAAGCAUCGGCUAACUCCGUGCCAGCAGCCGCGGUAAUACGGAGGGCGCGAGCGUUAAUCGGAAUUACUGGGCGUAAAGCGCGCGUAGGCUGUUGUGUAAGUUGGGGGUGAAAUCCCACGGCUCAACCGUGGAACAGCCCUUGAUACUGCGCGACUUGAAUCCGGGAGAGGGUGGCGGAAUUCCAGGUGUAGGAGUGAAAUCCGUAGAUAUCUGGAGGAACAUCAGUGGCGAAGGCGGCCACCUGGACCGGUAUUGACGCUGAGGCGCGAAAGCGUGGGGAGCAAACAGGAUUAGAUACCCCCGUA